GACGAACGCUGGCGGCGCGCUUAACACAUGCAAGUCGAACGGAAAGGCCUGCUUUCCCUUGUGGAUUGCGGGUACUCGAGUGGCGAACGGGUGAGUAACACGUGAGUGAUCUGCCCCCAACUUGGGUAUAAGCCUGGGAAACUGGGUCUAAUUCCCGAUAGGACUGCAGGGUGGUGCCUGUGGUGGAAAACGAUUUUCUAGUGGUUGGGGAUGAGCUCGCGGCCUAUCAGCUUGUUGGUGGGGUAAUGGCCUACCAAGGCGACGACGGGUAGCCGGCCUGGGAGGGUGGACGGCCACAUUGGGACUGAGGUACGGCCCAGACUCCUACGGGAGGCAGAAGUGGGGAAUAUUGCACAAUGGGGAGAAGCCUGAUGCAGCGACGCCGCGUGGGGAAUGACGGCCUUCGGGUUGUAAACUCCUUUCGACCGCGAGGAAGCCACCUGGUUGAAAGGGUGGUGACGGUAGUGAUAGAAGAAGCACCGGCUAACUACG
rnacentral:rRNA from 1 species